CGCGGAGACGGACGCCGGCUCCCGCCGGACUCCCCGAAGACAGAUGCUGGGAUCUGCAGCCCGGGCGGAGAGCAGGAGCGUGGCCCGGAGCUUUGCUCCGUGCACCUGUGGUAUAGAGUGCGCUCCCAGAAGGGGAAAGCUGCUACCUUGCGGGGAGUUCGCCACACCGGGGUUCCCAGCCCCAGCCCCGCCCAGCUCCCCACAUCUGCCCUCCUCCGGACUCUCUGCAACUCUGGGUUCUGCGUUGACUGCGGCCCACCUGGGAAGGUAACUUCAAUCCGGCAAGUGCUUCUUUAAGAAGACAGUUCCAUCAGCCCGGCAUCCAAGAGAAAACAGUGCUUUAGCUGAGGGAAAACUGUUUGAAAGGCUUGGCAACUGAACGUGUUCCCUCAGUCUGCCGAUACCACCAAGUUAGAAGGUCAUGCUUCAGUCAGACUGCUGAUAGCAACCGAAAGGAAAAUCAAAACCGUGGCUUCUGACUUCUAUUUUCAGAACAGAAAACGUCCCUUAGAAAAGUGUCGUUUGCCCUCGCCUUUCCAGUGAUGGCUACCUAAGUGUAACGGAAGAUUUUUAAACAUUAUUAAUUAAACAUCACUGCUACCUCUUCUCAGGCCUAGUGUUUAUAACAGGGCACUUUCCGUCCAUCUUCAGAGUACUUCUGCUGUGAUCUUUACCGUGCCUCCAAGAGAAAAACAAACAUAAUUCCCAGCUUUCAAAGGAGACCAUGGAGGUCCUCCCCGCCCCCCCCCAGGACUGGUCCAAUGCCACCGGGCUGGUGAGCAGGACAGCUGGAAUCCCAGCCUCUAUUCUCCCACACUUGCAGCAAGCCCUGGUCUUCAAGGCAGCAACCAUCUACCCACCCCUCCUCUACUUCCCUGCAAGCACUGGGGGAAUGCAGGUAGGUUUCCGGCACCCCUCUUCCCCACCUGUAGCGGAGUCCCAGCCUACGGCACAGCCACAAGAAGCUGCUUGAGAAAAAAAAAAAAAAAUUCCCCUGUUGAGAAAUUUUGCUGGCAGGACCUGGGCUGUUCAGAUUUCUCUCCUGGGGCUUUCAGCUCCAGGCUGAGCAGAGCCACAGCUAUGUGCACCGUUUUUGUCCUUUCUGCUUGUUUGUUUUCUGUCAGGGACAGAACUUUACACACAGGGGGCACGUUUUUGCAGUGGGAACUGAUCUCUUCCUAGUGUGCCCUAGGAAGGACUUUGAAGGACUCCACUAGCCCCGAAGUCAAUGGUCUUAAAUAUAAGGUGAGCCAUUGUUGAGACCCGGAACGUCCCGGGCAGACCUGGCUGCACCUGGCGCCUGAUGGGCCUUGCUGGCAUCACCUCUCAGCCCUCCUGCACCCGUGGGAAAGUCAGCAGCCAGAUCUGUUUGUGGCCUUCCACUUCCUCCUCCUCCUCUCUGCCAAAACGAAAUGUCACUUGUCGCGAUGUGUCCCAACCUGUUGCUAGCCAGGCUGAAGGCCUGAGUGACAUUGAACCCAACAGACAGAAACUUCCAGGAGCGAGGAAGGGGGCUAGUCAGGGAGGUACAUGCACCUUCCUGAUGAACUGCUCGGAAGCAUAUGGGUAAAAUUCACCUAAUGCAUUUAUCUGGUCUCUGCGAAAACACUGAUGACUUUAUAAUCAUUCCAUCCACGUAGCCUCAAAACGCUGUGAACGCUAGGCUCCAAGUAACGGAAAGGACAUGGCGAUAUGCCCCAAGCAGCCCCGUUACUAAGCCAGCUCAGGGCUGGAGCAUACUCGAAGAGGUGUCAGUGAUGUGAAACUGUCGAGUAUUCAUUCGUUCUCGAAUGCACUCGUUCCUCCAGUUAGGGCUGGAUCAAGCGUCAAGCAAGGUAUUACUCUAGGCAGUGGCAAUGAAAAGGCUGUUGUCCUAGUUCGCCUCUCUGUGGCUGUGAUAAAACACUGGCCAAAGGCAGUUUGCAGAAGAAAGAGUUUAUUUCAUCUUACAAGUCCCAGUUGAUAGUCAUCAUGGAGAGAAGUCAGGCAGGAACCUGGAGGCAGGAGCUGAAGCCGAGGCCACAGAGGAAUACCAUUUAUUGGUUUGCUUUUCCCCUGGAUUGCUCGGCUACUUUAUAUAUAUUCAGCUAGACCUGCCUGUUCAGGGAUGGCAUUGCCCACAAUGGGCACUGUGGGCCCUCCCACAUCAAUCGGAUGAAAAUAAAAUGCCUACAGAUAUGCCCACGGACCAGGCUAAUGGAGGCAAUUCUUCAACAGAGGGUCCCUCCUCCCGGGUGACUCUAGUUUGUCUCAAGUUGGCAAAAAACUAACUAGCACAAAUGUCCUUAAAGCAAACUGUAGGGGACACAGCACUGCAGUGAAAUUCUGUCCGUGGUGCCCUAUGCUCCUGCCUGGAAACCUUCAUCUUCGGAGCCAUUCUCAAAUGCGUUCUCGUCCCAGUUGCUGACACUGCCUUCGCCAGUCUAGGCGUCAAAGAAUCCUGGGUCAGUUGGCUGCUGGCUAGAUAUAGCCAAGAAAGGAGACAAGGGAAAAUGAAGAAUGGCAAGAAGAGAAAGACCAGAGAAAGUCAUCCCCUCCCUCUGCCUGAUGGCGUCAUGUGAUGGGUCACACGUCACUGAAUCCUCACGUGAGGAACUGCGAGCAUGCAAAUUAGGAUGUCGUGUGGGGGUCAGAGCUCUGCAUCUGAUGGCUGCUUAGGUCAUAAAGAACCCCAUCAACAGUCACAUCAGGGUGUGGAUAUAAUAUGGCCAUGCCACAGUGGAGCUCAGGAAAGUGAACACUGAGUUAAAAGUUGCUCGGCUCGCCAAUCCGUCCAAAUCCCUGGAGAGGAACCAUGACCAAAGGACGCUUCAUCAGGUAUUGGGUAGAAGUUACAAGAAAAGGCACUAAUGUGAUGCUCAAAUGAGCAAGCUGAAGUGUGACAGCAGUUGGACGGGAGCACUGUUGGUGUCCACAGCAGGACCUGUCUCGUCAAGUGAAGAAGCCUUGUCCAUCUUGGAUACCAUUUGCACCCCAGCAAGCUAAUGUUAUUCCAGAGGUAUCACUGGGUCCACGCACAACCCUUGCUCCUUCGGAACACACAGACAGUGUGGGCCUGUCCGCAAAAUGACCGCAAAAUGAGCUUUAACUAAUUCACCUUGACCACUGAUGAAUCAAUCCGAGACAAGAGCAAAGUCUAUCCCUUCCUACAUGGAUAGAGAGGGCAUGCUCUCUGUGUAGAUAUUUGUGGUUGUCUCUCUGGCACUAAAGAAGCCACACAGGGGUUAUUUGGCCAAAGAAAGAAACAACAAUGACAACCACCCUGAAGAAAAAGGAGAGACCUCUGUAGCUACAGAGGAACUGCCGUUAGCUCCGUGUUUCUACAGAGAAGAAACAACUGAGGAUUCAGUUCAUCUGUAUUCAGCCUCCCCUCUCUGUCAUGCAGAGAUCCCAUCCCAUGUGGCAAGCCCUUCUAAUUCAACCAUUGACACCGAACUUCACAAUGAGAAACUUGCAGUGUGAAACGGACGGAUCAUCUUGUUUCAAAGAGCAAGGCGCUCUUCCUUCAAAGAUUCCUUCAAAGAUUGAGAAAACACGAACCUUCAAGAAGAAGAAAAGAAAAGAAAAGAAAAGAAAAACCUGGAAUACAGGUUUUUCAUAUUUUCCCAGCAAGUCAAACUCAGAAAUGGAAUCUUUUUUUUUUUACAAAACAAAGAGGUGAAGAUAUCACUAAUCCUUUCAAUUAUACUCAUGUUGGCCACCGUGAACAUGGGCCCAGGAGCAAAUGCCCGUGCUCUCAAAUAAAAGCAGGUUGGAUGGAAGAGAAUUGGAGCAGAGGUCCCCAAAGAAAGGCUGCCUGCUAAUUAUUUUGAAUUCCUCUGCACCCCAUUGUUCAGGGAGCCUGUGGGUUGGGGAGAAGGCUGGCCAAGCCUGCUGGCAGAGUUGAGAGGAGUGUCAGGCCCCACCCCACUCCACCCCCACCUCUUUCCACUUUAGGUCCUCCCCUGUCUGCAGGGCUAAUUUUGAGAGCUGAGGGGAAAACCCUCACCCAGUAACUGUAGGGAUCCAGUUGUCAGACACGUGGGGCGAAAGGCUGAGCACACCACCAUUCUGGAAGGACUCAUUUUGAUGACGAAGCACGGCUAGCAGGGAAAGGGAUGCUGGCUUAGAGCAGAGGGUUGCGCACAAACUUGAGCAACAGACCCUGUGACCUUCCUAAGGAUUCCAAGAGUAAGCCAUACCCUGUAUCGAGGCUAAAGUGUAAGGGGGGAAAGGCAACCGUAGCUCCUUGCUUUCACCUUUCUGCAAAUGGCCUCCUCCUCACAGUCACGUGUCCUGUCCCCUGCUGUCCUAAACGGAAUAUUUGAGUGCCCCGUAUGCCGCAGAGUAAUAUCUGCUAAGCAAAGGGAGGAAAUGGGAUUGGAGCUCUGUGUUUCCUUUUCAUGGGAAUUUUAGCUGACAUUAAAACCUUUAGA